rnacentral:rRNA from 1 species
CCUACGGGAGGCAGCAGUGAGGAAUAUUGGUCAAUGGGCGGAAGCCUGAACCAGCCAAGUAGCGUGCGGGAUGAAGGCCCUACGGGUCGUAAACCGCUUUUGCACGGGGAAAACACCCUCCACUUGUGGAUGUCUGCAGGUACCGCGCGAAUACAGGCCGGCUAAUUCCGUGCCAGCAGCGGCGGUAAUACGGAAGGCCCGAGCGUUAUCCGGAUUCAUUGGGCUUAAGGGGAGCGUAGGCGGGCGUUCAAGUCAGCUGUAAAAUCGCGCGGCUCAACCGCGCCCCGCAGUUGAAACUGGACGCCUUGAGUUCACAACAGGCAGGCGGAAUUCGUGGUGUAGCGGUGAAAUGCAUAGAUAUCACGAGGAACCCCGAUUGCGAAGGCAGCCUGCCGGGGUGCGACUGACGCUGAGGCUCGAAGGUGCGGGUAUCAAACAGGAUUAGAUACCCCAGUAGUC